AUUGAACGCUGGCGGUAUGCUUAACGCAUGCAAGUCGAACGGCAGCAUGAUUUGUAGCAAUACAAAUUGAUGGCGAGUGGCGGACGGGUGAGUAACGCGUAGGAAUCUGCCUUAGAGCGGGGGAUAACCCGAGGAAACUCGGGCUAAUACCGCAUAUUAUCGAGAGAUGAAAGCUAGGUAGCAAUACCCGGCGCUCUAAGAGGAGCCUGCGUCCGAUUAGCUAGUUGGUGUGGUAAAGGCACACCAAGGCGAUGAUCGGUAGCUGGUCCGAGAGGAUGACCAGCCACACUGGGACUGAGACACGGCCCAGACUCCUACGGGAGGCAGCAGUGGGGAAUAUUGGACAAUGGGGGCAACCCUGAUCCAGCAAUACCGCGUGUGUGAAGAAGGCCUUCGGGUUGUAAAGCACUUUAGUUGGGGAAGAAGGUGAUGAGUUUAAGAGAUGCAUCAUUUGACGGUACCCAAAGAAUAAGCACCGGCUAACUCUGUGCCAGCCGCCGCCGUAAAAC
rnacentral:rRNA from 1 species